GUGCUUGCUUCGGCAGCACACAUACUAAAAUUGGAACAAUACAGAGAUUAGUGUGGCCUCUGGGGAAGGAUGGCACGUGAAUUUGUAAAGCAUUUCAUAGUAUA